rnacentral:lncRNA from 1 species
GGUUUGGAGAAAAUGGAGAAAACUUUAGAAAGUGUUCAAGAUAGUAAAAAUCAUAAGGAUUCAUAUUUGAUAAAAGAUGAUGAAAAUGAUACAAUGGUGACUCUUAUAUAGAGCAAUUUAGGGGUUAACUAACUAACCACCUAAUAACAAACUUUAACAAAUUAAUAUAAACUCUAACUAACUAAUAGUAGCUACUAGCUAAUAACCAUUAUUCUUAACAUCCCCCCUCAAACUCAACAUUGGAAAAUUUUCCAAUUUUCCAAUUUGAGG